AUCGCUUCUUGGCCUUUUGGCUAAGAUCAAGUGUAGAACUGCUUCGAGGAGGAAGAGAGAUACACAAAAUUUUAGUUCAAUAACAAAUGUGUUGAAAGGUUUUCAGCAGUCAUGAACUAUCCCCGGCUGUUUAAAUAUUAUAACAA
ensembl:snRNA U2 U2 spliceosomal RNA